rnacentral:rRNA from 1 species
UACGUAGGGUGCAAGCGUUAAUCGGAAUUACUGGGCGUAAAGCGUGCGUAGGUGGUGAGUUAAGUCUGUCGUGAAAGCCCCGGGCUCAACCUGGGAAUGGCGAUGGAUACUGGCUCGCUAGAGUGCGGUAGAGGAGAGUGGAAUUCCCGGUGUAGCAGUGAAAUGCGUAGAGAUCGGGAGGAACAUCAGUGGCGAAGGCGGCCCUCUGGUCCAGUACUGACACUCAAGUGCGAAAGCGUGGGGAGCAAACAGG